AGACUUGAUCUAGGUAUUUGAAGUUUCUAGAAAAUAAUUUUUGCGAUUUUUUGAUAUCAUUUACCUAGUGAUCAAAAGGAUUCAAAGUCAAUAAUUUUUAAUGGUUGAUAUCUGCCGUUUUUAAGUUUAACGGUGUAGAAGUAUUCAAAUCAGAUGAAAUUUUGAUACAAAAGUAUUUAUACUAUCUACAACAAGAUCAAUAUUUCUGAUCGAAAAUUUUAGUGCUAUAUCACCACUUUUUAUAGGAUUUUUAUUUUCAGCCGUUAAAAAUUAUUGAUUUUGAAUCCUUUCGAUUGCUAGGUAAAUGAUAUCGAAAAAUCGCAAAAAUUAUUUUCUAAAAACUUCAAAUACGCUAGAUCAAGUCUAACGGAGCCGAUCGUCGAUUCAGAAAUUCCAUCAUCGAAAACGGCUCAGGAGAGAGCACAACAGCCCUGCUAUAUAUAUAUAUAUAAUUGAGCUCCUAUAUUUUUAAAAAUACUAAAUUAUUAGUGCUUAUAGAUUUUUAGCCAUUGGAUUAAGAGAUGUGCGGUUAUGAUGAUGUAGGCCUCUUAGAAUUUAGUGGGUUGUUGGUCGAAUAGAAUAAUCUAACGGGUGAAAAUGAUCAAAGGCGUAGAUCUAACGGUAAAAAAUUCAUAAACACAAAAAACCUGGUGCUUUUACAAGACUAUAUAUAUAUAUAGGGCAAUUGCUUAUAUACCCCUGAAAAAUUUUCGACUUUCCAAUUUACCCCUCUUAGAAGGCUAAUAUUGAAAAUACCCUUUUUACGUUCCAAUCUAUUUAUAAUAUACCUUAGAGUUAAAAUCUGUUAAUUAACUCUAUUAUCUUUGUAAAAUUACUAUUUUGUCUUUUUAAAUAUUCCCUUUCACCAUCACUGACUUUCUUAUUUGCCCUUAAAGUCAGAGGCACAAAAAGUAGUUUGACUUUUGGUCUUUUUCAAUAUACCCCUCUACCGUUACCAACAUUUCUUAUUUGCUCUUAAGUUAAGGGUAAAAUUAGCAUUUUAAUUUUUUUUAACUGUAUUAGAUAUUUAACUUACGUUUAACCCAAGUUAACUUAAUAGGAGAUAACUACGGGAGUAUUUUGUAAUAAUGGUGAAACAUAUGAGGAAUAUUUUAGAAAGAAAAAAAAAAAAAGAGUAAAUCAAAUAUUUUCAAACCUGUGAAGGAUAUAUAAGCAAUUAUCCGUAUGUAUGUAUAUAUAUAAUUUUAAUGUAAAUUUAGUUGAG
rnacentral:lncRNA from 1 species